UACGUAGGGGGCAAGCGUUGUCCGGAUUUAUUGGGCGUAAAGAGCGUGUAGGCGGCCAGGGAGGUCCGUUGUGAAAACUCGAGGCUCAACCUCGAGACGCCGAUGGAAACCCCCUGGCUAGAGUCCGGAAGAGGAGAGUGGAAUUCCUGGUGUAGCGGUGAAAUGCGCAGAUAUCAGGAAGAACACCCGUGGCUAAGGCGGCUCUCUAGUACGGUACUGACGCUGAGACGCGAAAGCGUGGGGAGCAAACAGG
rnacentral:rRNA from 1 species